CUCGGUUAUGGAGACAUGUACCCCAAAACAUGGUCAGGAAUGCUGGUAGGUGCCCUUUGUGCAUUGGCUGGGGUGCUCACAAUUGCCAUGCCUGUACCUGUCAUCGUGAAUAAU
rfam:Lepisosteus oculatus linkage group LG8, whole genome shotgun sequence.